GACGAACGCUGGCGGCGUGCUUAACACAUGCAAGUCGAACGGAAAGGCCCGGUCUAUGGGGGGUGCUGGAGUGGCGAACGGGUGAGUAACACGUGAGUAACCAGCCCUUGACUGAGGGAUAACUUCAGGAAACUGGGGCUAAUACCGGAUAGGAGCUCUUGCUGCAUGGUGGGGGUGGGAUAGUUUCGGUGGUUGGGGGUGGACUCGCGGCUUAUCAGCUUGAUGGUGGGGUAGUGGCUUACCAAGGCUUUGAAGGGUAGCCGGCCUGAGAGGGGAACCGGACACAUUGGGCCUGAGAUACGGCCCAGACUCCUACGGUAGGCAGCAGUGGAGAAUAUUGCACAAUGGGCGGAAGCCUAAUGCAGCCACGCCGCGUGCGGGAUGAUGGCCUUCGGGUUGUAAACCGCUUUCGCCUGUGACGAAGCGUGAGUGACGGUAAUAGGUAAAGAAGCACCGGCUAACUACGUG
rnacentral:rRNA from 1 species